rnacentral:rRNA from 1 species
AUUGAACGCUGGCGGCAUGCCUUACACAUGCAAGUCGAACGGUAACAGAUCUUCGGAUGCUGACGAGUGGCGAACGGGUGAGUAAUACAUCGGAACGUGCCUAGUAGUGGGGGAUAACUACUCGAAAGAGUGGCUAAUACCGCAUGAGAUCUACGGAUGAAAGCAGGGGAUCGCAAGACCUUGUGCUACUAGAGCGGCCGAUGGAAGAUUAGGUAGUUGGUGGGAUAAAAGCUUACCAAGCCGACGAUCUGUAGCUGGUCUGAGAGGACGAUCAGCCACACUGGGACUGAGACACGGCCCAGACUCCUACGGGAGGCAGCAGUGGGGAAUUUUGGACAAUGGGCGCAAGCCUGAUCCAGCAAUGCCGCGUGCAGGAUGAAGGCCUUCGGGUUGUAAACUGCUUUUGUACGGAACGAAAAGCCCUGGGUUAAUACCCUGGGGUCAUGACAGUACCUGAAGAAUAAGCACCGGCUAACUACGUGCCAGCAGCCGCCGUAAAAC